CGAACCGCGCAAUGCGCUUCUUCUGCCUGCAGCAGAGAAAAGGAAAGAAAACUCCGCAGGGGCUCCGUUGGCUUCUCCACGAGUGACAACCAUGUUUUCCCAGAUAGAAGACCGGAGCCCUGCUCCUUUGCGAUCCGCCGAGGGCUGCAGAGAGCAUCCUCAUCCAUUUGGGCACCCCUGCCCAGGAAGAGCCCGGCCAUCCCUUUCCGGACUGGAUCCUUAAGAGGUGAAUUUUCUUCCGUGGAUUCCGAUUUGCUCCGUCUGACCAGCCUAGGCAAUCCAGCAUCGCGUGGUACCAGUGCCGCUGGGCACACUGGCUUCACGCCGGCUCCGCCUCACCAGCAAGCGCAUUCCCAGGUGGUCAGGCUCAGGAUGGACCAUGAGCUUUCAAAAAGGAAAAAGGUGGAAAUCCUCAACUAUGCUGCCAUCUGAAUAAGUGUUUCUUUGUAGAUGCACAGAGUCAAGGAAAAUUACAUCCCUGCAUUAUGUAAUGUACCAACAACGCACUUACCCACUGUUUUAAUCUAGGUUAUUCUUGAAAGCAGAGCCUGAGACAAAGGUAGACACAUUCUAUUUAUGAGUCUAACACCCAGGAGCAGGAAUGAGAGAUAGGGGAGUGAACUGGGGAAAAGGGAAACUAAGUCCGAGCAAAACCAGAUACUGCUCUUAUCAAGUGGUCCACCCCUAUUAAUGGCUACAUAAUGCAGAACUUUCUCAGGAUUCUUCUUAAACUUUAUCUCAGAACUGUCUGCCUCAGGGAGAAAGGAGAAGUAUUUCUCCAUCAGCAGCCACCUCCUGUGUGUUGAGGGCUGCUCCUUUGGGGCAUUAACCCACUGCCUCCACCACCCCAACCCUCUGGGCUGCAAAGAGCUAGCUGACAGUCCAGCUGGUACCUUAGCAUCACACAUUGCUGCAUCAGAGAGGUCUUAAGACAGGAAGCUAGAGUCUUGGUGCAUGCUCGAAGUGAGACGGUGUCAGCACAGAGCAGGGUAAAAUCUUCCCGUUAACUCUUCACCAGAGCUAUGACUGGAAUCAGAGGUUGAAAAGAUGUGAGACUGUACCCAAGAAGCAUCUUAUAAGCCUACGUAAUAUACUGUUAGACUCAUCGAAAUCUAUUUCCUCCCUUCUUUAUAAUCAAAACUUCAGUGUCCAGAAUAAAGUUGGCAGAAGGGUUAAAUUGGAAAGUUAAAUGUACUAGAAGGUGUACAUUUAUAAGUUUUGACCUUGAGUCGUGUUCAAGGAGAAAGUGACAUUGGAACUUGGAAAAUUUAAAAAUGAUUCUACUUGAAAAAUUUGACCAUUGCAUAGAAAUAUUAGCUAUCGUCUAAUCUUUUGUAAUCUUAGAAACAAUCGUGAAUUGUUUGGUGAAAAAUGAAAAAAUAACCAUUUCUUAUGUCUCCGUGACCUUUAUAGACCAAUGUCACCAACUUUUCCUAAGGUAAUUGUUUCCUACUGUCAAAUAGCUCUAGUGAUAUAAAUCUUAACAAUCAAUGAAGGGAAAACUGGUGGAAACAUAGGAGGAAAAAUACUGGGAUAAUUUUCAUCACAAAGUAUUGGCAUUAACAUUGGUUAGAAUAGGGGAGAAACUGCAUGACUUGACAACUGGACAUUCCUGUAUGUUGUAUGAGGCCCUGUCUUAACAGAAAUAGUGAUGUCAUCAUCAUCCUCUCUUAUUUGGUCUUGAAUUGCCACCAAUCGGAUAAAACCUUUGAAUUAUUUAACUCAAUAUAUGUUAAGUUUCUACUAUGUGCUGUGUAUUGGUACUAUAAAUAUGAAUAAGACAUAAGAUAUUACAUUCAAAAACAUCAGAAUACAUGUUCUUUUAAAGUAUACCCCAAAACAUUUACCAUGUGUUCUGGGGCGCAUGUUAGGCUGGAUCACAAAUCAAGUCUCAAGAAUUUCAAAAGAUUGAAAUCAUAUAGAGUAUGAAUUAAACCAGAAAUCAAGUACAUAAAGGUAACAAAAAAUUUCCAAAAUGCAUUAAUUUAAGGAACAUACACCUCAUGACCCAUGAGCCAAAAAAUAAAUCACGGCAAAAUUGCAAAAAUAUUUUGAAAUGAAUUUUAAAGAAAAUACUUAGCAUAUUAAAUACUUAGCAUAUUAAAGCUCUAAGUACAUAUGUUAGAAAUUUUACCGAAAGGUUGGCUAUCAGUGUUUCCAGAAGCCAGGGAAAAAGUUUAUACAAUUUGAUCGCUGAGGCAGGGAAACAAAGUGAGACCUCCGAUCGCCCUGCCUUUCUGAGGUGAGCACUCUGGAUCCCAUCGCAGGAGAUCAGAGUCUUGCUGAGUUGAGGAGAGGAAGAUUGGAGUUGAUACUGAGAUAGCUUGAAUUUUCAGGACAAAGUAUCAACAAGGAGGAAGGUAGACAAAAAAAUCCAGAAAUCUAUGUAGAGACCCCAUUGUGUACAUUGCGGAACACUAAGCCUAACAAUUCUCAAAAUUAGCGUGAGAUUGGGAAAUAUCUAAUUUCCAUCCAGCCACAGUGGAGAGUCCUGACUGAAAACCAGGCAUUCGCUAAAGAUCCCAGAAAGGUUGUGUGUUACAUACGUAGGGCUAAACUAUCCUGACUAAAAACUACACUACACUUGCUCCUCACCCCCACAAAAAGCUUAAAAACAAGCCUCAAUAGUAUAAAGCUGAUCUGUAAGUAACUAAACUACCUGCAGAACAAAGUCCAAAUUUAUUAGUUCCAGUACUCCAAAAAAAACACAUGUAAAAAAAAAAUAGAUUUACAAGACAUUUAUUUGGGGAAAAAAAGAAUGCCUGAGGGUUGAAAUGGAGAGGAAGCCAGAGAGACAGAGUCCUCAGAAUACAUAAAAUUUCUGGCCUCCAUGGAGGUGUGAUGGUUAAUUUUAUGCAUGUCAACUUCGCUGGGCCACAGGAUGCCCCAUAUAUGAUCGAACAUUAUUUCUGGUUGUGUUCAUGAAGCUUUUUCUGGAGGAAAUUCGCAUUUGAAUUGAUGGACUGAAUAAAGCAGAUUGCAGUCCCCAGUGUGGAUGGGCUUGAUCCAGUCUUCUAAGGACCCAAAUAAAAUAGGUGGAGGAAGCUUGAAUUUUCUGCCUGACUGUGGCGCUGGGACACCCAUCUUCUCCUGCCCUUGAACUGGGACUGACACCAUCAGUGCUCCUGGUUCUCAGACCUUCGGACAGCAGACUUGGGGCCUUCUCGGCCUCCAUUAUUGUCUGCUUUUAGAUAUUUAACGGGAGAGGAAAAGAG
rnacentral:lncRNA from 1 species